AGAGUUUGAUCAUGGCUCAGAAUAAACGCUGGCGGCAUGCCUAACACAUGCAAGUUGAGCGAGAAAGUUCCUUCGGGAACGAGUAAAGCAGCGAACGGGUGAGUAACACGUGAGAAUUUCCCCUUUAGUGAAGGAUAUCUUCGAGAAAUCGAAGUUAAUACUGCAUACGUCCCUUCGGGGAGAAAGACGGCCUCUUUGCUGUCGCUAAAGGAUAAGCUCGCGCACUAUUAGCUAGUUGGUGGGGUAAAGGCCUACCAAGGCAGAGAUGGUUAGCCGGCCUGAGAGGGUGUACGGCCACACUGGGACUGAGAUACGGCCCAGACUCCUACGGGAGGCAGCAGUGGGGGAUCUUGCACAAUGGACGAAAGUCUGAUGCAGCGAUGCCGCGUGGAGGAAGAAGGUCUUCGGAUUGUAAACUCCUGUUAAGUGGGAAGAAACCUUUGCGAGUAAUAUGCGCAAAGUCUGACGGUACCACUAGAGAAAGCUCCGGCUAACUUCGUGCCAGCAGCCGCGGUAAUACGAAGGGAGCAAGCGUUAUUCGGAAUCACUGGGCGUAAAGGGCGUGUAGGCGGUUAAUUAAGUCAGUUGUUAAAUUCCCCAGCCUAACUGGGGCCAAGCAAUUGAAACUGAUUGGCUAGAGUACAGAAGAGAGAAGUGGAAUUAUCGGAGUAGCGGUAAAAUGCGUAGAUCUCGAUAGGAACACCGAUGGCGAAGGCAGCUUCUUGGUCUGUUACUGACGCUAAAAUGCGAAAGCGUGGGGAGCAAACAGGAUUAGAUACCCUAGUAGUCC
rnacentral:rRNA from 1 species